rnacentral:rRNA from 1 species
UACGAAGGGGGCUAGCGUUGUUCGGAAUCACUGGGCGUAAAGCGGGUGUAGGCGGAUUUUUAAGUCAGAAGUGAAAGCCUGGGGCUCAACCUCAGAAUUGCUUUUGAUACUGAAAAUCUAGAGUUUGGGAGAGGAAAGCGGAAUUCCUAGUGUAGAGGUGAAAUUCGUAGAUAUUAGGAGGAACACCAGUUGCGAAGGCGGCUUUCUGGAACAAAACUGACGCUCAGACCCGAAAGCGUGGGGAGCAAACAGG